rnacentral:tRNA from 1 species
CCUUCGAUAGCUCAGUUGGUAGAGCGGAGGACUGUAGUAGAUGGAACGUGGCAAUCCUUAGGUCGCUGGUUCGAUUCCGGCUCGAAGGA